GGUUCCAUUUAAUUGGGCACCAGCUCUGCACCAAAACACAUAUGGAACAAAUUAUUCUACCUUUUAAAUCACAGCAAUGUAUAAAUCUGGAAGAAAAUGCUGCAUUUUCUGACCUAGGAAUCCUUUCCCAGAGCUUUAAAAAAAAAAGCUGCUUUUAAAAAAAUUAUUAUUGAAAAAAAUGUUCUAAUAUGUCUUCAGAAUUUUUGAAAACUUAUUUCCAUGGAAUGACAGCUCAAUCACAUAUGGAGAUUUCAUUAAACUGGUUUAACAAGAAUUCCUGUUCAGAAGAGUUUAGUACUGAGCAAGCUGGUUACCAACCUCAAGAGUCUUACACUUUAAAGAUACAAUAAAAUAUAUUCAAACAUAUAUUCUCUUUUCUGAAAUGUGUUGGUAGUAUAUUAACACAACCAGUUAUAUCUCUAGGAUGCCAAGUAAUGUCAAGAAAAAAUUGCUCUGGACAAAGUUAAAUGAGCAAGGAAGACUUUAUUCAAGCUAUUUUAAUAGGGGACAGAGACAAUUGUCAAGAAGACAAUAACUCUUCUUGAAAGUCUAAAAUGUAGCAAAGCUGAGGGGAACUUUAAGGCUGUCUUGGUCGAUAAACAAGAAAAGGGAAACUCUAGCACUGAAAAAGUUACUUUUGAGCAAUAUUUUAAUAAAAGAAAAGCACACAAAUUCCUCUAAAGGAAGGGGAAGCUGUCUGAGGCCGAGGUGGUGCUCUGCCAGGAGCAAGCUGACAAGUCUCACUCAAGUGCUGGCAAACAGAGCUUGGGGGCCGGAGCAGGAGCCUGAGCUGGGAGGAGGCUGGCCAUUCAUUCCAGGAAACUAGUGGGUGGAGGGCCUUGAUGCCUGUGAUUAAGAGUGUUAAUUUGGAUUGAGAGGUAAUUGGGCAUUGGCACAGGACUCAGAAAGGGGAAAUAAUGCAAUCAAAGAGAGGCCUGAGGAAGAUGAUUGUGACACCUGUGAGAGAAUUGAGGCUACAGAGGCUGAGGCGGGAAGACCAAUAAGGAGGUCAUUAUCCUGCUGCCUAGACUGUUAGAGUGCUCCAUCUCUGCACUAAUCCCCACUCUGUCCCUUUUUCUUCAGUGAAGCACUUCUCCUGUCUCUCUCCUUAAUUAUCUUUUCACAAUACAGUCCCUAUGACCACCUUUUAAAAAAUCAAACUGUCCUUCUUAUUUCUUUGAAAUCUCUCCAGAAAGUACACUUGAACCAUAAGAUUUAAGAUGUAAUUAAAUCAUCAGAUCUUCCAGGCAGAAGAUGUGAAGCGAUAAUUAAGAGUUUCCUAAGUUUGCCUGAUCAUAAGACCCAAGUAGGGAUGUUUAAAACAUGUGUUUAAUUUUUUUUUUUUUUUGAGACAGAGUUUUGCUCUUUGUUGUCCAGGCUGGAGUGCAAAGGCAUGAUCUCAGCUCAUUGCAACCUCUGCC
rnacentral:lncRNA from 1 species